rnacentral:lncRNA from 1 species
AAGCACCCCACCUCGGUUACUCAGCCUAACACACUCCUAAUUUUUAUUUUUCUUAAGAACAUAUCGAACCUUUUGGCGCGAAGAGAGAUGACAGCCAAGCACCUCACGCCGGUUAUUCAGCCCAACAUAUUCUUAAAAAUUAAUUCCGGUUAGCGAAGUUUUACCUAGCACGUCACACAACCUUUUGAGGCGAAAUAGGAUGACAACCCAAGCACCC